rnacentral:rRNA from 1 species
GAUGAACGCUGGCCGCGUGCCUAAUACAUGCAAGUCGAGCGAACGGACGAGAAGCUUGCUUCUCUGAUGUUAGCGGCGGACGGGUGAGUAACACGUGGAUAACCUACCUAUAAGACUGGGAUAACUUCGGGAAACCGGAGCUAAUACCGGAUAAUAUUUUGAACCGCAUGGUUCAAAAGUGAAAGACGGUCUUGCUGUCACUUAUAGAUGGAUCCGCGCUGCAUUAGCUAGUUGGUAAGGUAACGGCUUACCAAGGCAACGAUGCAUAGCCGACCUGAGAGGGUGAUCGGCCACACUGGAGCUGAGACACGGUCCAGACGCCUACGGGAGGCAGCAGUAGGGAAUCUUCCGCAAUGGGCGAAAGCCUGACGGAGCAACGCCGCGUGAGUGAUGGAGGUCUUCGGAUCGUAAAACUCUGUUAUUAGGGAAGAACAUAUGUGUAAGUAACUGUGCACAUCUUGACGGUACCUAAUCAGAAAGCCACGGCUAACUACGUG